rnacentral:rRNA from 1 species
UACGGAGGGUGCAAGCGUUAUCCGGAUUUACUGGGUUUAAAGGGUGCGUAGGUGGGUAGGUAAGUCAGUGGUGAAAUCUUCGAGCUUAACUCGGAAACUGCCAUUGAUACUAUUUAUCUUGAAUACUCUGGAGGUAAGCGGAAUAUGUCAUGUAGCGGUGAAAUGCUUAGAUAUGACAUAGAACACCAAUUGCGAAAGGCAGCUUACU